rnacentral:rRNA from 1 species
UACGUAGGGUGCAAGCGUUGUCCGGAAUUAUUGGGCGUAAAGAGCUCGUAGGCGGUCUGUCACGUCGGCUGUGAAAUCCCGAGGCUCAACCUCGGGUCUGCAGUCGAUACGGGCAAACUAGAGUAUUGCAGGGGAGACUGGAAUUCCCAGUGUAGAGGUGAAAUUCGUAGAUAUUGGGAAGAACACCGGUGGCGAAGGCGGCUCACUGGCUCAUUACUGACGCUCGAGGCGCGAUAGCGUGGGGAUCAAACAGG